CCUUCCUCAUCUGAGGUGGAAUCAACCUUCCUCAUCUGAGGGGGAAUCGACCUUCCUCAUCUGAGGUGGAAGGUUACCUUCCUCAUCUGAGGUGAAAUCGACCUUCCUCAUCUGAGGUGGAAGGUGACAGAGCUACAGCGGUGUUUGUCAAGAGAUCGUGGUGAAACAUCCUUGUUGGUCUUCUCACAAAUACUUCUCUAGCGUCCUAACGAGUCAGAUUGGACCAUCUUAAAACAAUUCCAUAUGUAACCAGAUUGUACGAUUUAGUUAUUUUAGUUGGAACUCCGGGCCCUUAGACCCCUUUUUCUAACAGCUUUGUGAUGGGGAAUAUAAUUAUAUUGAAACUAACCUGCCAACUGGAACUAAGCCUUAGAGACACACACACAGGUUCUCUCUUCCCUCUGUAACUCCUGUCAGGCUGACCUGACCUGCUAGUAACUAACACACAUCAGCCUCCACAUCCAACGUGAAAACAACUGGAACCAAGCCUUAGAGACACAGACACAGGUUCUCUCUUCCCUCUGUAACUCCUGUCAGGCUGACCUGACCUGCUAGUAACUAACACACAUCAGCCUCCACAUCCAACGUGAAAACAACUGGAACCAAGCCUUAGAGACACAGACACAGGUUCUCUCUUCCCCCUCAAAGUGUUCCUCUGUAACUCCUGUCAGGCUGACCUGACCUGCUGGUAACUAACACACAUCAGCCUCCAACGUGAAAACAACUGGAACCAAGCCUUAGAGACACAGACACAGGUUCUCUCUUCCCUCUGUAACUCCUGUCAGGCUGACCUGACCUGCUAGUAACUAACACACAUCAGCCUCCACAUCCAACGUGAAAA